rnacentral:rRNA from 1 species
UAACACAUCGGAACGUAUCCAGUCGUGGGGGGAUAGCCCGGCGAAAGCCGGAUUAAUACCGCAUACGACCUGAGGGUGAAAGUGGGGGAUCGCAAGACCUCACGCGAAUGGAGCGGCCGAUGUCCGAUUAGCUAGUUGGUGAGGUAAAGGCUCACCAAGGCGACGAUCGGUAGCUGGUCUGAGAGGAUGAUCAGCCACACUGGGACUGAGACACGGCCCAG